AAGUUUGCUACAGUUGCUUGUGUGUAUGUGCCUAUGUGUGCGUGUGUGUGUGUGUCUGCAUGUGUGUGUGGGUGUGUAUAGAUCUCUGUGUGUGUGUGUGAAGAGUGACACUGCUGAAACAUAAAUCCUACUGUCAACAAUGGCCAGCAGCAUUGACAUGCGACUAUGGCGGCGACAUAGUCGAAGGGCGAUCAGGACGCUGAGGAAAGGGAUUGCCAGCGGCUGGAUUGACCGCACCGCAGUGUUACAUAAAUACAAUAAAUACACAUGGCGACAUGGCCGGACGCUGCUGAUGCUGAUGGACAGAUGACGAAAGGAUUUCGACCAACCAAUUGCAGAGAACCAGACCGCCAGAGAGCCGUGGGGAGUGCGCAUUAAAAAUAUGCAAACGAACAAAAAAUAUAUAAAAUUAAAAUUGCAAUUAAGCGUGGGAAAUAUGCGCAAAGUGUUGAAAUGCGAACUGACGGCUUCGAAUUGAAACUAUUGACCAAGCAAAUACUCUGCGGCCCCUUUCUCAUGCCACAAUCGCCACCGUGAACAAAUAAGCCAAGGAUAUCUGUUAAAUUUAUGUAAAGAUAUGCGAAAACACGCCCCCUCAAAAGCCGCCCCUUCAGCCUGACGCUCGUCGCUUUCAAUUUGUGGAAGACACUCGUUGCGCCCACAGCUCUCGACUCGACUCGACUCAACUCAACUCGAAUCAACUAAAAUUGAUUUAUGGAUAUUUUUAGAGAAGAAACGGGCCGCGACUGGGUAAAAGUUUAAAGCGUGUUGCGUGUCAAGAGCAAAUAUCAAAAAUCGACAUUCGACAUACGGGGCGUGGUCGUAAAACCGCUCGAAAAUUAUAGCUUUCAGCUUUCGCGCGAAUUGUAAUAAAUUUAGAAAACUUAUAUACACAUCGCGAA